rnacentral:rRNA from 1 species
UUGCUCCUAGGCGUCGAGCGGCGGACGGGUGAGUAACACUUAGGAAUCUACCUAGUAGUGGGGGAUAGCUCGGGGAAACUCGAAUUAAUACCGCAUACGACCUACGGGAGAAAGGGGGCAGUUUACUGCUCUCGCUAUUAGAUGAGCCUAAGUCGGAUUAGCUAGAUGGUGGGGUAAAGGCCUACCAUGGCGACGAUCUGUAGCUGGUCUGAGAGGAUGAUCAGCCACACCGGGACUGAGACACGGCCCGGACUCCUACGGGAGGCAGCAGUGGGGAAUAUUGGACAAUGGGGGGAACCCUGAUCCAGCCAUGCCGCGUGUGUGAAGAAGGCCUUUUGGUUGUAAAGCACUUUAAGCAGUGAAGAAGACCUAACGGUUAAUACCCGUUAGCGAUGACAUUAGCUGCAGAAUAAGCACCGGCUAACUCUGUGCCAGCAGCCGCGGUAAUACAGAGGGUGCAAGCGUUAAUCGGAAUUACUGGGCGUAAAGCGAGCGUAGGUGGCUUGAUAAGUCAGAUGUGAAAUCCCCGGGCUUAACCUGGGAACUGCAUCUGAUACUGUUAAGCUAGAGUAGGUGAGAGGGAAGUAGAAUUCCAGGUGUAGCGGUGAAAUGCGUAGAGAUCUGGAGGAAUACCGAUGGCGAAGGCAGCUUCCUGGCAUCAUACUGACACUGAGGCUCGAAAGCGUGGGUAGCAAACAGGAUUAGAUACCCUGGUAGUCCACGCCGUAAACGAUGUCUACUAGUCGUUGGGUCCCUUGAGGACUUAGUGACGCAGCUAACGCAAU